rnacentral:sRNA from 1 species
GGCGCGCGGAGCUGGCACCUUGGCGCUGUUGGUGGCGGCGGAGACAGCUGUGAAGUGUGAGGUUCUUUGUCUGCUGGCAGCUAGGGGCGACGAGGCGGGACGUCAUGGAAGUGAAGGAUGCCAAUUCUGCGCUUCUCAGUAACUACGAGGUAUUUCAGUUACUAACUGAUCUGAAAGAGCAGCGUAAAGAAAGUGGAAAGAAUAAACACAGCUCUGGGCAACAGAACUUGAACACUAUCACCUAUGAAACGUUAAAAUACAUAUCAAAAACACCAUGCAGGCACCAGAGUCCUGAAAUUGUCAGAGAAUUUCUCACAGCAUUGAAAAGCCACAAGUUGACCAAGUAAGUAAAUCUUUUAAGUAGGAAGAGAGUGACACAUGGUGAAAUGAUAGUUGCUACAUUCGUAGCAACCGUGUAUUGAUAUUCGGCUGGGUUUGGAUUUAAAGAAGGAUUAUAG